rnacentral:sRNA from 1 species
UAGAGGCACUGGAGACAGGAAUGGAGCCAAGGCGGCGGAGGCGGGAGGGAAGCAAGCA